GUUGUAUGGUUAAGUGACUAAGCGUACACGGUGGAUGCCUAGGCAGUCAGAGGCGAUGAAGGACGUAUUAACUUGCGAUAAGCGUAGAUGAGGCAGUAAAAGCCACUUGAGUCUACGAUUUCCGAAUGGGGAAACCCAAGUGCAUAAGCACUUAUCGCUGCGUGAAUACAUAGCGCAGCGAGGCAAACCGGGGGAACUGAAACAUCUAAGUACCCCGAGGAGAAGAAAUCAACCGAGAUUCCGAAAGUAGCGGCGAGCGAAAUUGGAUUAGCCCUUAAGCUUUAUUGGUGUCAGGCGAAGUGCUCUGGAAAGGCACGCGAUACCGGGUGAUAGCCCCGUAGCCGUUAACGCCAGUAAAGUGAAAUCGAGUAGGGCGGGACACGUGAUAUCCUGUCUGAAUAUGGGGGGACCAUCCUCCAAGGCUAAAUACUCCUGACUGACCGAUAGUGAACCAGUACCGUGAGGGAAAGGCGAAAAGAACCCCUGUGAGGGGAGUGAAAUAGAACCUGAAACCGUGUACGUACAAGCAGUAGGAGCCUCUUUAAUGGGGUGACUGCGUACCUUUUGUAUAAUGGGUCAGCGACUUAUAUUCAGUGGCAAGGUUAACCAAAUAGGGGAGCCGUAGGGAAACCGAGUCUUAACUGGGCGUUCAGUCUCUGGAUAUAGACCCGAAACCGGGUGAUCUAGCCAUGGGCAGGUUGAAGGUUGAGUAACAUCAACUGGAGGACCGAACCGACUAAUGUUGAAAAAUUAGCGGAUGACUUGUGGCUAGGGGUGAAAGGCCAAUCAAACUCGGAGAUAGCUGGUUCUCCCCGAAAGCUAUUUAGGUAGCGCCUCGGACGAAUACUACUGGGGGUAGAGCACUGUUAAGGCUAGGGGGUCAUCCCGACUUACCAACCCUUUGCAAACUCCGAAUACCAGUAAGUACUAUCCGGGAGACACACGGCGGGUGCUAACGUCCGUCGUGAAGAGGGAAACAACCCAGACCGCCAGCUAAGGUCCCAAAGUAUUGCUAAGUGGGAAACGAUGUGGGAAGGCUUAGACAGCUAGGAUGUUGGCUUAGAAGCAGCCAUCAUUUAAAGAAAGCGUAAUAGCUCACUAGUCGAGUCGGCCUGCGCGGAAGAUGUAACGGGGCUAAGCAAUACACCGAAGCUGCGGCAAUGCGAUUUAUCGUAUUGGGUAGGGGAGCGUUCUGUAAGCCGUUGAAGGUGAACUGUAAGGUUUGCUGGAGGUAUCAGAAGUGCGAAUGCUGACAUGAGUAACGACAAGGGGGGUGAAAAACCUCCCCGCCGGAAGACCAAGGGUUCCUGUCCAACGUUAAUCGGGGCAGGGUAAGUCGACCCCUAAGGCGAGGCCGAAAGGCGUAGUCGAUGGGAAACGGGUUAAUAUUCCCGUACUUCUUAUGAAUGCGAUGGGGGGACGGAGAAGGCUAGGUGGGCCAGGCGACGGUUGUCCUGGUUCAAGUGCGUAGGCUAAGAGACUAGGUAAAUCCGGUUUCUU
rnacentral:rRNA from 1 species